rnacentral:rRNA from 1 species
CACACGACUCUCGGCAACGGAUAUCUCGGCUCUCGCAUCGAUGAAGAACGUAGCGAAAUGCGAUACCUGGUGUGAAUUGCAGAAUCCCGCGAACCAUCGAGUCUUUGAACGCAAGUUGCGCCCGAGGCCRCUUGGCCGAGGGCACGCCUGCCUGGGCGUCACGC